CAGCUGGAUGCAGAGGGGCAGCACAGCUGGCACAGCUGGCACAGCUGGCACAGCUGGAGCCUGGCUGGGUUCCCCACGCUGGAGGAGGGGCUGCUGUCCUGUGCAGAGCCCUCUGCAGCCCCAGCCUCACCCCUGGAUGUCCAGGAGAGCAGAUUCUCCCCCUGCCUGCCCCUGCUGCUGAGCCCAGCCCCGGCUGAGUCGUUCCUGCAGGGAUCCCAGCUGGAUUUCCUCCCCUUGAGAGCCACCCCAGAUGUUUCUGGAGCAUCCCUGGAGCAGGGGGGAGCAUCCCCAGCCCCUCCCAGUUCAUCCCAGCAUCCCCAGCCCACGGG